rnacentral:rRNA from 1 species
GGGAAGAGAGGUCAUU